GUGAAAACUUACUGAAUUCAGGGGGGAUAUGAGAAUUGGAGAAGUUAUUCGAAGAAAGAUCAAGCCUUUGGAGAUGAGAGUUGGAAUAGACUGCUAUUGGAAGCAAUGGUCCCAACAAGACCGCUACAGCCGAGGUCAAGCUCAAUAACAUGGCCAGUCAUGUCAUCACAUAUGACUCCAUCCCAUGAACAACAAUCUCUGCUCAUGUUCCAUGAACUUGUUUUUGGAUAAUACUUCUGACAAAAAGAAAAGAGUGAGGAAUCUAUAGUAAAUGACUGCUUGAAUUUUAGAAGGGAAAUGGUUUGACAUUUGUGAGAGAGAUGAGGUAAUAUGGAUGAAGAAACAGUAAAUACUUCAUGAGGAAGGAAGACAAGUAAGUGCACAAUUACAUAGCCAUCUUUAGCUUCAUAAACUAGAUAAGUAUG
rnacentral:misc_RNA from 1 species